rnacentral:rRNA from 1 species
GCGUGCCUUUUGCAAAAUGAGCCGGCUAGUUACUCUCUGCAGCGAAGUUAACCCCGGUUUCGGGGGGAGCUGUAGCGAAAGCGAGUCCGAAUAGGGCGUUAAGUUGCAGGGAGUAGACGCGAAGCUGAGUGAUCUACCCUUGGCCAGGGUGAACCCCGAGUAACAUCGGGGGGAGGCCCGAACCGGUGUUGGUUGAAAACAGCUCGGAUGAGCUGAGGGUAGGGGUGAAAGGCUAAUCAAACUCAGUGAUAGCUCGUUCUCCCCGAAAUAGCUUUAGGGCUAGCCUCGCACGUUUGGUAAGGGAGGUAGAGCACUGGAUGGAGUAGGGGUCCGAAAGGGCUACCGAACCCAACCAAACUCCGAAUGCCCUUAACCAUAGUGCGGGAGUCAGACUGUGGGGGCUAAGCUCCAUAGUCAAAAGGGGAACAGCCCAGACCGCCAGCUAAGGUCCCUAAAGGCAAGCUAAGUGGUAAAGGAUGUGAAGACGCUCAGACAGCCAGGAGGUUGGCUUAGAAGCAGCCAUCCUUUAAAGAAAGCGUAACAGCUCACUGGUCGAGCGUCUUUGCGCCGAAAAUUCAGCGGGGCUUAAGCUUGCUACCGAAGCUGCGGAUCAGCACUCAAAAAUUUGAGUGCUGGUGGUAGGGGAGCAUUCCUGUCCGGAUGAAGUCAGUUCGUGAGAACUGGUGGACGGUCAGGAAGAGACUCUGCCGGCAUAAGUAGCGAUAAUCCCGGUGGAAACCCGGGACGCCGUAAGUCUAAGGUUUCCUGAGGAAGGUCAGUCCGCUCAGGGUUAGUCGGUGCCUAAGCUGAGGCCGAAAGGCGUAGGCGAUGGGAAGCAGGUCAACAUUCCUGCACCAUCUGAGAGACGUUUGUACGAAGGGGUGACGCAGAAGGAUAGGCAUACGCACGACUGGAAGUGUGCGGUCCCUGGUUAGGUGGAGCUGGUAGGCAAAUCCGCCAGCUCGUUAACACCGAGGUAAGGGAGGAAAGGGACCUACGGGUCCCCCAACUUGCCGACUCCACGCUGCCGAGAAAAACCUCUAAGGAGUCUCUCAGAUGACCGUACCGCAAACCGACACAGGUAGACGGGGAGAGAAUCCUCAGGCGCACGUGUGAGCCCUCCUUAAGGAACUCGGCAAUCUAACCCCGUAACUUCGGGAGAAGGGGUGCCUCAUGUAGGGUGUAAUCCUUCGAGGAUGAAGCCCGAAGAGGCCGCAGAGAAAUGGCCCAGGCGACUGUUUACUAAAAACACAGGGCUCUGCAAAGACAUAAAAUCGAUGUAUAGGGCCUGACGCCUGCCCGGUGCCGGAAGGUUAAGGGGAGGGGUUAGCCGGGAGUAAUCCUGGCAAAGCUCCGAACCGAAGCCCCGGUAAACGGCGGCCGUAACUAUAACGGUCCUAAGGUAGCGAAAUUCCUUGUCGGGUAAGUUGGAGACUUGCCCCUUUGUCCCGUAAGGGUCAUUGAAAAACCAGCUCAUAUCGGGGGAGCCCUCCUAUCCAGCACUCAGGAUAUGAAUAACUCUUACUUAUCUUUUCUGAGUGCGGGAUGUGGGGUAAUCCCGAGGGAACCCUUAGGAUAACUAAGGGACCCGUAACGACUGACCCGAAAGGGGAGGUUCGCUUCGAACUGAAGCGGACAACAUGCUGGCCCUCACCCCGCAUUUUGCGGAAGUGGGAACCCAUGGAGCUCUUUCUUCCUUAAUUUUAAGGAGGAGAAAUGAGAUUGAAUGAGUACUAUGUCACAGGACUUGCUGAGGGAGAAGGUUCUUUCUCAGUUUCUUUCAAUCUUAGAAAGAAAUUGAAGGUUGGAAUUGAAACGAGACCAUCCUUUUCCAUCUCUCUAAAUCAGAGAGAUUUGGAACUUGUAAAGGCUUUAAGAGAUUUUUUCGGUUGUGGAGGAAUAAGGUUUAGUAAAGCUGAUAGAACUUACAAAUACGAGGUCCGCUCAACAAAGGAUAUUGUAAAAAGGAUAAUUCCCCAUUUUAGAAAAUUCCCCUUAAGAGGAAGCAAGCAAAAGGAUUUUGAGCUUUUUGUCAAGAUUUGUGAGAUGGUCAACUCUAACCUUCAUUUAAAUCCCUUUUAUCUUCGUGAGAUUAUUGAGAUGGCAUAUAGAAUGAAUCCUUCAGGAAAGAGAAAAUACAGGAAAGAAGAGCUCCUAAAGGUUCUUGGUGAGGUGAAGGUAUAGUCUACCCCCUGUGGAAACACAGGAUAAGGUGAAGUUCCGACCCGCACGAAAGGCGUAACGACUUGGGCGCUGUCUUAAGGAGGGGCACGGCGAACUUGUAGUGCCAGUGAAGAUGCUGGCUACCCGCCGCUGGACGGAAAGACCCCGUGCACCUUAACUGCAGCCUACCAUUGGAUCUUGGUAUACUAUGCGUAGAAUAGGUGGGAGACUGUGAAGUCUGCCUUUCGGGGCAGAUGGAGUCGCCAGUGAAAUACCACUCUUAGUAUAUUGAGAUCCUAACCAACUCCCCUGAAUCGGGGAGUGAGACAGUGGUAGGUGGGUAGUUUGACUGGGGCGGUCGCCUCGAAGUGGGGCGCCCUGAUGGUAACAUCAGGGGCAAACCAGGCUAUAUGCUGGGAAGUCCGUUCCCUAUCUUAAGCAUUCUCCGUUUGCUUAGGAGAAGGGAUGAAGCAUCCAGGGCUACUCAAUGUCGAAAAAAUGACAUUGAGUGAAAAUGCUUCUGGUGCGGACAAUCAGCAGGGAACCCAGACCUUUUUAAGGUCUGGAGGCAGUACCUUUUGGUUUAUUUCCGUAAGGUACUGGUCCCUCAACGACUGUACGCCUGGCUCCGUUUUUGAAAAAACGGAGGUGAUACAGUCUGAACUGCAUGGCGACAUGCAGCCCCAUUUGGGGCGUCUGGCUUGGAGGUUAAAAAUAUGCAAAAAAAGGAAAUAGAAAGGUUAAAGAAAAAGCUAAAGUUAAACAAAAGCCAGAGGAGAAUCCUUGUGGGUUUACUGUUGGGUGAUGCUUGCUUAGAAACUCAGAACAGAGGAAGAACCUAUAGGUUAAAAAUUGAAUAUUCUUUGAAGCAUAGAGAUUAUUGUGAGUAUAUUUAUGAAAUUUUCAAAGAAUGGACUCUGACUCCUCCGAGAUUGAAGGAAGUUGUUAGUCGAGAGCACAGAUCGGUAAAUAUUUGCUUUUCGACAGUAAGUCAUGGAGCUUUUAGAUUCUAUGCGAAACAAUUUUACAAAGGAAAUAGGAAAAGAGUCCCUCCUCUUAUAGAAAAAUUGCUUACCCCCCAAGGUCUUGCUUUCUGGUUCAUGGAUGACGGUUCUUUUAAAUCUGGAGAAUCGAAGGGUUUGAUUUUCAAUACUCAGGGAUACACAGAGCAAGAUGUUAACAUUCUUGUGAGAGUUUUGAAUGAGAAAUUCGGUCUUAAAGCAUGGAAAAGGAAACAAAAAGAAGGAUUCCAGAUUUAUAUCUCAGGAGAAAGCUAUGAGAGCUUUUUAGAGCUGAUUAGCCCAUAUUUGCAUCCAUCUAUGAUUUAUAAACUCCCCAAAGCCAGACGAACAUAUUUGCCUAAAAGGUAACGGAGGCGCCCAAAGGUCCCCUCAGGCUGUUUGGAAAUCAGCCGUUGAGUGCAAAGGCAUAAGGGGGCUUGACUGUGAGGCCGACAGGCCGAGCAGGUGGGAAACCAGGGCUUAGUGAUCCGGUGGUCCCGUAUGGAAGGGCCAUCGCUCAACGGAUAAAAGGUACGCCGGGGAUAACAGGCUUAUCGGGCCCAAGAGCUCACAUCGACGGCCCGGUUUGGCACCUCGAUGUCGGCUCAUCGCAUCCUGGGGCUGAAGUAGGUCCCAAGGGUCCGGCUGUUCGCCGGUUAAAGCGGUACGUGAGCUGGGUUUAGAACGUCGCGAGACAGUUCGGUCCCUAUCCACGGUGGGCGUAGGAGAUUUGAGGGAGGCUGUCCCUAGUACGAAAGGACCGGGACGGACGAACCUCUGGUUUACCAGCUGUCCCGCCAGGGGCAUCGCUGGGUAGCUAGGUUCGGACGGGAUAACCGCUGAAAGCAUCUAAGCGGGAAGCCCUUCCCAAGAUAAGAUCUCCCGGACCGUAAGGUCCCUGAAGGCCCCUCGUAGACUACGAGGUUGAUAGGCUGGAGGUGUAUGCGCCGUAAGGCGUUUAGCUGACCAGUACUAAUAGGCCGUGAGGCUUGACCGUA